CAUAAAGUAGAGAAGGGCAUACGGUGGAUGCCUUGGUGCCAAGAGGCGAUGAAGGACGUAGCACGUUGCGAAAAGCUUCGGGGAGUUGCGAGCGAACGAUGAUCCGGAGAUGUCCGAAUGGGGAAACCCGGCGGCCCAUGGGCCGUCAUCAUGCGAUGAAUCCAUAGUUGCAUGAAGCGAACGCGGGGAACUGAAACAUCUAAGUACCCGUAGGAGAAGAAAUCAAACGAGAUUCCGUGAGUAGCGGCGAGCGAAAUCGGAGCAGGCCCGCAUCACAAGCAUGAAUUGUUUAGCCGAACGCACUGGAAAGUGUGACCGUAGAGGGUGACAGUCCUGUAGGCGAAAGGCAAUGCAUGUGGGAUGCGAACGAGUAGGGCGGGGCACGUGAAACCCUGUCUGAAGAUGGGAGGACCUCCUUCCAAGCCUAAAUACUCCUUGGCGACCGAUAGUGAACGAGUACCGUGAGGGAAAGGUGAAAAGGACCCCGAUAAGGGGAGUGAAAUAGAACCUGAAACCGUGUGCUUACAAGCAGUGGGAGGGCGGUGUUAUGGCUGCCUGACCGCGUACCUUUUGUAUAAUGGGUCAGCGAGUUGAUUUUGGUGGCGAGCUUAAGCCGAUAGGUGUAGGCGUAGCGAAAGCGAGUCUGAAUAGGGCGUCAAGUCACCAGGAUCAGACCCGAACCUGGGUGAUCUAUCCAUGAGCAGGGUGAAGGUGCGGUAACACGCACUGGAGGCCCGAACCCACUCAUGUUGAAAAAUGAGGGGAUGACUUGUGGAUAGGAGUGAAAGGCUAAACAAACCCAGAGAUAGCUGGUUCUCCUCGAAAACUAUUUAGGUAGUGCCUUGUGUAGAUGAUUAUCGGGGGUAGAGCACUGGAUGGGCUAGGGGGACACACCGUCUUACCAAACCUAACCAAACUACGAAUACCGACUAAUUAGAGCACAGGAGACAGACAGUGGGUGCUAAGGUCCAUUGUCGAGAGGGAAAUAGCCCAGACCGCCAGCUAAGGUCCCGGAGUUGGAUUUAAGUGGGAAAGGAUGUGGAAAUGCAGAGACAGCCAGGAGGUUGGCUUAGAAGCAGCCACCCUUUAAAGAAAGCGUAAUAGCUCACUGGUCGAGUGGGUCUGCGCCGAAAAUAUAACGGGGCUAAAAUCCACACCGAAGCUGCGGAUGUUCAUGCGCUUGCGCAUGAGCAUGGUAGAGGAGCGUUCCGUAAGCCUGCGAAGCCAGACCGUAAGGAUUGGUGGAGGUAUCGGAAGUGAGAAUGCUGACAUGAGUAGCGUAAAAACAGGUGAGAAACCUGUUCGCCGCAAACCCAAGGAUUCCUACGCAAGGCUGUUCCGCGUAGGGUUAGUCGGCCCCUAAGGCGAGGCUGGAAGGGCGUAGCUGAUGGGAAACCGGUCAAUAUUCCGGUACCGAUAACGACUGCGACGGGGGGACGGAGAAGGGUAGGUCUACCGGGUGAUGGUCAUCCCGGAUCAAGCGUGUAGGCGUAUUCACACAGGGAAAUCCGUGUGGAUGUUAAGCUGAGGCGUGACGACGAGUCGCAAGACGAAGUGAUUGACCCCAUGCUUCCAAGAAAAUCCUCUAAGCAUCAGGUAGUUAUCGACCGUACCAUAAACCGACACAGGUGGGUGAGGAGAGAAUCCUAAGGCGAGUGAGAGAACUCAGGUGAAGGAACUCGGCAAAAUGGCCCCGUAACUUCGGGAGAAGGGGCGUCUCUGUUAGGUGAAGCGAUUUACUCGUGGAGCUGAGAGAGGCCGCAGUGACCUGGGGGGAGCGACUGUUUAUCAAAAACACAGGACUCUGCUAAGUCGGAAGACGAAGUAUAGGGUCUGACGCCUGCCCGGUGCCGGAAGGUUAAGAGGAGAGGUGAGAGCCUUGAAUUGAAGCCCCGGUAAACGGCGGCCGUAACUAUAACGGUCCUAAGGUAGCGAAAUUCCUUGUCGGGUAAGUUCCGACCUGCACGAAUGGCGUAACGACUUCCCCGCUGUCUCCAUCUGAGGCUCAGCGAAAUUGAAAUUGCUGUGAAGAUGCAGCAUACCCGUGGCAAGACGGAAAGACCCCGUGAACCUUUACUAUAGCUUUGCAUUGGCACUAGAAUCAGUCUGUGUAGGAUAGGUGGGAGGCAUUGAAGGCGAUGCGCUAGUAUUGCUGGAGCCGCUGUUGAAAUACCACCCUGAUUGAUUUUGGUGUCUAACCUGAGCCCGUUAACCGGGUUGGAGACAGUGCAUGGUGGGUAGUUUGGCUGGGGCGGUCGCCUCCCAAAGAGUAACGGAGGCGCGCGAAGGUUCGCUCAGGUUGGUCGGACAUCAACCGUAGAGUGUAAAGGCAGAAGCGAGCCUGACUGCGAGACGGACAUGUCGAGCAGGGACGAAAGUCGGUCUUAGUGAUCCGGCGGUUCUGAGAGGAAGGGCCGUCGCUCAACGGAUAAAAGGUACUCCGGGGAUAACAGGCUGAUCUCCCCCAAGAGUUCACAUCGACGGGGAGGUUUGGCACCUCGAUGUCGGCUCAUCGCAUCCUGGGGCUGUAGUCGGUCCCAAGGGUUUGGCUGUUCGCCAAUUAAAGCGGUACGCGAGCUGGGUUCAGAACGUCGUGAGACAGUUCGGUCCCUAUCUGCCAUGGGCGUAGGAAAAUUGAGGGGAGCUGCUCCUAGUACGAGAGGACCGGAGUGGACGUGCCUCUAGUGUACCGGUUGUUCUGCCAAGGGCAUAGCCGGGUAGCCAAGCACGGAAGGGAUAACCGCUGAAAGCAUCUAAGCGGGAAGCCCCCCCCAAGACGAGUUUUCCCUAUGAGACCCGUUGAAGACNACGACGUUGAUAGGCCGGGUGUGGAAGUGGGGUGACCCAUGGAGCUAACCGGUACUAAUAGGUCCAUUGUCUUUAUGAA
rnacentral:rRNA from 1 species